rnacentral:rRNA from 1 species
GAUGAACGCUGGCGGCGUGCCUAAUACAUGCAAGUCGAGCGAACAGAUGAGGAGCUUGCUCCUCUGACGUUAGCGGCGGACGGGUGAGUAACACGUGGAUAACCUACCUAUAAGACUGGGAUAACUUCGGGAAACCGGAGCUAAUACCGGAUAAUAUAUUGAACCGCAUGGUUCAAUAGUGAAAGACGGUUUUGCUGUCACUUAUAGAUGGAUCCGCGCCGCAUUAGCUAGUUGGUAAGGUAACGGCUUACCAAGGCAACGAUGCGUAGCCGACCUGAGAGGGUGAUCGGCCACACUGGAACUGAGACACGGUCCAGACUCCUACGGGAGGCAGCAGUAGGGAAUCUUCCGCAAUGGGCGAGAGCCUGACGGAGCAACGCCGCGUGAGUGAUGAAGGUCUUCGGAUCGUAAAACUCUGUUAUUAGGGAAGAACAAAUGUGUAAGUAACUAUGCACGUCUUGACGGUACCUAAUCAGAAAGCAACGGCUAACUACGUG